rnacentral:lncRNA from 1 species
AUUCUUGAAUAUGAACAAUAUUGAAAAGUAUAUGAAGUACUUCGGAUUUCAUCAUAGUCUCUCCAACUUAAAUGGACAGAUAUGGUUUUUUUGGGUUGGAAAUUACAACACUUAUGUUAUUAACAAUACUGAUAACAAAUCACAAUAAAGAUGCAAAACUUCAACACUAGUAAGGACAUUUUCAUCACUACUGUAUAUGCUAAGUGCGCCCCCUUGGAAAGGAAGGAUCUCUGGGAGG